UCCUUUAAUUGAACGCUGGCGGAAUGCUUUACACAUGCAAGUCGAACGGCAGCAUAGGUGCUUGCACCUGAUGGCGAGUGGCGAACGGGUGAGUAAUACAUCGGAACGUGCCCAGUCGUGGGGGAUAACGUAGCGAAAGUUACGCUAAUACCGCAUACGAUCUACGGAUGAAAGCGGGGGACCGUAAGGCCUCGCGCGAUUGGAGCGGCCGAUGUUAGAUUAGGUAGUUGGUGGGGUAAAGGCUCACCAAGCCGACGAUCUAUAGCUGGUCUGAGAGGAUGAUCAGCCACACUGGGACUGAGACACGGCCCAGACUCCUACGGGAGGCAGCAGUGGGGAAUUUUGGACAAUGGGCGCAAGCCUGAUCCAGCCAUUCCGCGUGCAGGACGAAGGCCUUCGGGUUGUAAACUGCUUUUGUACAGAACGAAAAGCUCUGGGUUAAUACCUCGGGGUCAUGACGGUACUGUAAGAAUAAGCACCGGCUAACUACGUG
rnacentral:rRNA from 1 species